rnacentral:rRNA from 1 species
AACGAACGCUGGCGGCAGGCCUAAAAACAUGCAAGUCGAACGAACCUUCGGGUUAGUGGCGCACGGGUGAGUAACGCGUGGGAAUGUACCUUUUGGUGCGGAAUAACGUAGGGAAACUUACGCUAAUACCGCAUAAUAUCUUCGGAUCAAAGAUUUAUCGCCAAGAGAUCAGCCCGCGUUAGAUUAGGUAGUUGGUAGGGUAAUGGCCUACCAAGCCUACGAUCUAUAGCUGGUCUGAGAGGAUGAUCAGCCACACUGGAACUGAGACACGGUCCAGACUUCUACGGGAGGCAGCAGUUAGGAAUAUUGGACAAUGGGGGAAACCCUGAUCCAGCCAUGCCGCGUGUGUGAAGAAGGCCUUAGGGUUGUAAAGCACUUUCGUCCGCGAAGAUAAUGACAGUACCGGAAGAAGAAGCUCCGGCUAAAUUCGUG